UAAUACGUAGGGGGCGAGCGUUGUCCGGAAUGACUGGGCGUAAAGCGCGCGCAGGCGGCGCGCCGCGCCGGCCGUGAAAGCCCCCGGCUCAACCGGGGCACGUCGGCCGGGACGGGCGCGCUGGAGGGUGUCAGAGGGGGGUGGAAUGCCGCGUGGAGCAGUGAAAUGCGUAGAGAUGCGGCGGAACACCGGCGGCGAAGGCGGCCCCCUGGGGCACAACUGACGCUGAGGCGCGAAGGCUAGGGGAGCGAACGGGAUUAGAUACCCCGGUAGUCCUAGCAGUAAACGAUGGGCGCUGGCUGUCGGCGGUUUGACCCCGUCGGUGGCUGAGCUAACGCGCAAGCGCCCCGCCUGGGGAGUACGGCCGCAAGGCUA
rnacentral:rRNA from 1 species